rnacentral:rRNA from 1 species
UACGGGAGGCAGCAGGGGGAAUAUUGCACAAUGGGCGAAAGCCUGAUGCAGCUAUGCCGCGUGUAUGAAGAAGGCCUUAGGGUUGUAAAGUACUUUCAUCGGGGAGGAAAAAACAAAACUAAUAAUUUUAUUUCUUGACGUUACCCGAAAAAGAAGCACCGGCUAACUCCGUGCCAGCAGCCGCGGUAAUACGGAGGGUGCUAGCGUUAAUCAGAAUUACUGGGCGUAAAGAGCACGUAGGUGGUUUUUUUAAAGUCAGAUGUGAAAUCCCUGGGCUUAACCUGGAACUGCAUUUUGAAACUGAAAUACUAGAGUAUCGUAGAGGGAGGUAGAAUUCUAGGUGUAGCGGUGAAAUGCGUAGAUAUCUGGAGGAAUACCUGUGGCGAAAGCGGCCUCCUAAACGAAUACUGACACUGAGGGUGCGAAAAGCGUGGGGAGCAAACAGGGAUUAGAUACC